UGGUAAAAUGCUAACUCACCGGGGUUUUUUGGACUCGUCACUGCAUCACUGACAACAUCCAUUUAUUUCCUACAGACAAGCUAAUAAAGAUGCCUACUCAAAAAGUGUGCCAGACUUGCAAACACAAAAUAGGAGUAGCCAGCAGGAAAUGCAGGCAAUGUGGUGCCAACCAACCCUACAAGGAGAAACUAUCCAAGCAAAAG